rnacentral:rRNA from 1 species
GAUGAACGCUGGCGGCGUGCCUAAUACAUGCAAGUCGAGCGAAUGGACGAGAAGCUUGCUUCUCUGAUGUUAGCGGCGGACGGGUGAGUAACACGUGGAUAACCUACCUAUAAGACUGGGAUAACUUCGGGAAACCGGAGCUAAUCCCGUAUAAUAUUUUGAACCGCAUGGUUCAAAAGUGAAAGACGGUCUUGCUGUCACUUAUCGAUGGAUCCGCGCUGCAUUAGCUAGUUGUUAAGGUAACGGCUUACCAAGGCAACGAUGCAUAGCCGACCUGAGAGGGUGAUAGGCCACACGGGAACGGAGACGGGGUCAAGACGACUAAGGGAGGGAGCAGUAGGGAAUCGUACGCAAUGGGCGAAAGCAUGACGGAGCAACGCCGCGUGAGUGACGAAGGCCUUCGGAGCGUAAAACUCUGUUAUGAGGGAAGAACAGAUGUGUAAGUAACUGUGCACAGCGUGACGGUACCUAAUCAGAAAGCAACGGCUAACUACGUG